GCCAGGUUAGUGUAGUGGUAACACAUCUUCGCCCUCCAAAAAAAACAAAACAGAACAAAUGAAGGUCUUGGGUUCGAUGCCCUGCGGUUGUACAAAUGUACACAGCAAAAACAUCCGGGUGGCCCUUCACACCCUGUGCGAAUAAAUCCACCUCCACAGAAUGGCAUGAAAAGAAGACCCAGGUUCGAAUCCUGGACCAGGCA
rnacentral:tRNA from 1 species